rnacentral:rRNA from 1 species
GAUGAACGCUGGCGGCGUGCCUAAUACAUGCAAGUCGAGCGAACGGACGAGAAGCUUGCUUCUCUGAUGUUAGCGGCGGACGGGUGAGUAACACGUGGAUAACCUACCUAUAAGACUGGGAUAACUUCGGGAAACCGGAGCUAAUACCGGAUGAUAUUUUGAACCGCAUGGUUCAAAAGUGAAAGACGGUCUUGCUGUCACUUAUAGAUGGAUCCGCGCUGCAUUAGCUAGUUGGUAAGGUAACGGCUUACCAAGGCAACGAUGCAUAGCCGACCUGAGAGGGUGAUCGGCCACACUGAAACUGACACGCGGUCCAGACCCCUGCGGGGGGCCGCAGUGGGAAAUCUUCCGCAAGGGGCGAAAGCCUGACGGAGCAACGCCGCGUGAGUAGUAACGGUCUUCGGAUCGAAAAACUCUUUUAUUGGGAAAAAACAUAUGUGUAAGUAACUGGGCGCAUCUUGGCGGUACCAAAUCAGAGAGCCGCGGCUAACUACG